AAGGUUUUAAGUUAAUUUAAACUAAUAGUCUUCAAAAUUACAUAUAAAGAAAUUUCUUUAAGCCUUA
rnacentral:tRNA from 1 species